rnacentral:rRNA from 1 species
GACGAACGCUGGCGGCGUGCUUAACACAUGCAAGUCGAACGGGUCUGCCCUGUUUUUUGCGGGGUGGGUCAGUGGCGAACGGGUGAGUAACACGUGAGUAACCUGCCCCUCACUUCUGGAUAACCGCUUGAAAGGGUGGCUAAUACGGGGUGUUCUGGCUGUGCCGCAUGGUGUGGCUGGGAAAGAUUCCCUUUUGUGGUGUUUUGGUGGGGGAUGGGCUCGCGGCCUAUCAGCUUGUUGGUGGGGUGAUGGCCUGCCAAGGCUUUGACGGGUAGCCGGCCUGAGAGGGUGGGCGGUCACACUGGGACUGAGAUACGGACCAGACUCCUGCGGGAGGCAGCAGUGGGGGGUAUUGCACAAUGGGCGGAAGCCUGAUGCAGCGACGUCGCGUGAGGGAUGGAGGCCUUCGGGUUGUGAACCUCUUUCGCCGGUGAAGAAGGUCCUGCUCUUUGUGGUGGGGUUGACGGUAGCCGGGUUAUGAAGCGCCGGCUAACUACGUG